rnacentral:tRNA from 2 species
UUAAGCUUUCGGGCCCAUACCCCGAACAUGUUGGUUAAACCCCCUCCUUUACUA